CACUAAGAAGCUAAAUUGGGAUAAGCGUUAGCCUUUUAAGCUAAAAACUGGUGGCCCCCAACCACCCCUAGUGA
rnacentral:tRNA from 1 species